rnacentral:rRNA from 1 species
CAGUAGCCACGGGAAUACGAAGGGUGCAAGCGUUACUCGGAAUUACUGGGCGUAAAGCGUGCGUAGGUGGUGGUUUAAGUCCGUUGUGAAAGCCCUGGGCUCAACCUGGGAAUUGCAGUGGAUACUGGGUCACUAGAGUGUGGUAGAGGAUAGUGGAAUUUCCGGUGUAGCAGUGAAAUGCGUAGAGAUCGGAAGGAACAUCUGUGGCGAAGGCGACUAUCUGGGCCAACACUGACACUGAGGCACGAAAGCGUGGGGAGCAAACAGGAUUAGAUACCCCUGUAGUCCCUGUCUCUUAUAA